UUUUGAGAAUUAGUUCUCUUUUCCUUAAAGAUUUGUUUCUUGUGUGCCUUAUUGUUUCUUGUACUACAUCAGUGCUUGAUUUCAAUAUUAUUGCUACCACACGAGUGAAGAGUUGAUUGUUCUCCUAAUACAGUUUCUAAUUUUUUUGCAUUUCAAGACUCGAGGACAAGUUUUUUCUAACUAGGAGAGAAUAAUGCAGAAUAGGAAGAUGAUAUCACUAAUACAAUUUAAGAGUUAUAUUUCAUGUAAACUUAGGAAAUUUAGAGUUUUAUUUUUUAAGAAUUUUAUUCUUAUUAGAUCUAUCAUUUAGAAAUUUUAUUAUUUUAGAUCUAUUAUUUUCUAAUUUAUCUUA
rnacentral:misc_RNA from 1 species